ensembl:lncRNA
GUAUGGAGGUCAACCUCAGCCCUGCCCAAAGAAGGGGAGACGUGGGUGCAGGCUGGGCCCCCGGGGGCAACAUCCACUCUGGGCCCCGCUCCUAACCCAGCAAAGGGGCAAGUCACCGCCGUUUCCAACCUGAUGACCGGCUCAGAGUGACCGCAUUCCUCCCCGCACGCCCAGCCAGGGCUCGUGUCCACCUGGGGCUCAGUCCACACUCAGGAGGACAGGGAAGACAGUGAUGGGGAGACUGAAGUGACAGGGGCCGAGCGGCCUGACACCCCGGCUCACAGUGUCGAGAGGGCAGGAACCGCGUCUCGGCCCACCUGUGGCCUCCACAGCCUGAGGCAGGAUGCUGUGCAGGACUUAGAACACCUGAGCCCCGAGAAGCUGGUGACGGCGCGCAGGGCCCGAUGGCCACGGCGGGCUGCUCGUUUCCUGCAGGAGGAACUUACCUUAUUUUGGAGGAGCUGCUUUUAUUCUCAGAGGGAGGAAAAGGAACGUUCCGGGACCCUGGAAGCAAGAGGCAUCAUGUUCGGAUCCUCUGAAAUUAUUUAAGAUGUGAUAAUAUGAGCAUCUUGUUUUCAAAAAUAUUCCCUGGUACUUAUGCCUGGAAUUCCCUGCCAGCGUCCUCAAGGUCCCUGUUCAUUCGUUUCCCCUUCGGGGAUGUGACUGGAAUACAGAUCAUAGUUUAGACAGUCUGUGAAUAUGCAAGAAUUUCUCCAGCUCCAGCCUGGAUCUGAGGCUUCCAGAAACAGCACAUUGGCAGACCUGUGGAUGUCGAAGCAAACAUUAGGAUGACAACCAAACAAACUUAUUCCUGUUGCUUUAGGAGAAGCCUGUUGUGUUGUAUCCUGAGUGUUUUCAAGAAAGUUCAAUAAGUGAGAGCAUUUUACAGACAGGUGCACGUUCCCAGGUGCAGAAAACGUUUGCAAACUGCACGGGCACCCGGACCAGCCCAGGAGAGUGGCUCUAGCACCCCAGAAUCCCC